rnacentral:rRNA from 1 species
UUUUAUGGAGAGUUUGAUCCUGGCUCAGGAUGAACGCUGGCGGCGUGCCUAAUACAUGCAAGUCGAGCGAACGGACGAGAAGCUUGCUUCUCUGAUGUUAGCGGCGGACGGGUGAGUAACACGUGAAUAACCUACCUAUAAGACUGGGAUAACUUCGGGAAACCGGAGCUAAUACCGGAUAAUAUUUUGAACCGCAUGGUUCAAAAGUGAAAGACGGUCUUGCUGUCACUUAUAGAUGGAUCCGCGCUGCAUUAGCUAGUUGGUAAGGUAACGGCUUACCAAGGCAACGAUGCAUAGCCGACCUGAGAGGGUGAUCGGCCACACUGGAACUGAGACACGGUCCAGACUCCUACGGGAGGCAGCAGUAGGGAAUCUUCCGCAAUGGGCGAAAGCCUGACGGAGCAACGCCGCGUGAGUGAUGAAGGUCUUCGGAUCGUAAAACUCUGUUAUUAGGGAAGAACAUAUGUGUAAGUAACUGUGCACAUCUUGACGGUACCUAAUCAGAAAGCCACGGCUAACUACGUGCCAGCAGCCGCGGUAAUACGUAGGUGGCAAGCGUUAUCCGGAAUUAUUGGGCGUAAAGCGCGCGUAGGCGGUUUUUUAAGUCUGAUGUGAAAGCCCACGGCUCAACCGUGGAGGGUCAUUGGAAACUGGAAAACUUGAGUGCAGAAGAGGAAAGUGGAAUUCCAUGUGUAGCGGUGAAAUGCGCAGAGAUAUGGAGGAACACCAGUGGCGAAGGCGACUUUCUGGUCUGUAACUGACGCUGAUGUGCGAAAGCGUGGGGAUCAAACAGGAUUAGAUACCCUGGUAGUCCACGCCGUAAACGAUGAGUGCUAAGUGUUAGGGGGUUUCCGCCCCUUAGUGCUGCAGCUAACGCAUUAAGCACUCCGCCUGGGGAGUACGACCGCAAGGUUGAAACUCAAAGGAAUUGACGGGGACCCGCACAAGCGGUGGAGCAUGUGGUUUAAUUCGAAGCAACGCGAAGAACCUUACCAAAUCUUGACAUCCUUUGACAACUCUAGAGAUAGAGCCUUCCCCUUCGGGGGACAAAGUGACAGGUGGUGCAUGGUUGUCGUCAGCUCGUGUCGUGAGAUGUUGGGUUAAGUCCCGCAACGAGCGCAACCCUUAAGCUUAGUUGCCAUCAUUAAGUUGGGCACUCUAAGUUGACUGCCGGUGACAAACCGGAGGAAGGUGGGGAUGACGUCAAAUCAUCAUGCCCCUUAUGAUUUGGGCUACACACGUGCUACAAUGGACAAUACAAAGGGCAGCGAAACCGCGAGGUCAAGCAAAUCCCAUAAAGUUGUUCUCAGUUCGGAUUGUAGUCUGCAACUCGACUACAUGAAGCUGGAAUCGCUAGUAAUCGUAGAUCAGCAUGCUACGGUGAAUACGUUCCCGGGUCUUGUACACACCGCCCGUCACACCACGAGAGUUUGUAACACCCGAAGCCGGUGGAGUAACCUUUUAGGAGCUAGCCGUCGAAGGUGGGACAAAUGAUUGGGGUGAAGUCGUAACAAGGUAGCCGUAUCGGAAGGUGCGGCUGGAUCACCUCCUUUCUAA